GGCGACGCCGCGUUGUUUACGCGGCCCGGGAGCUAGUGAAAGCGGACUUGGAAUGGAAUUAGCAGACAAACAAGGAGCUCCUCUCUGGCCUGUGCCACUGGUAUUUGGAUUCCUGAGGGAGGCCAUUACCGCCCCCAAUCCAUAUGUAUGUAUGGCUGGCUGCUGCCUCUGACAGAGAUGCCCGCACACGGAGGACAAGCCCAAUGGUUUUACAAGAUAUGACUGAUAGAAGAGUGAUGAUUUCUUGCCGGAGG